CGAAAGCCUGACGGAGCAACGCCGCGUGAGGGAUGAGGGCCUCUGGGCUGUAAACCUCUUUUCUCAAGGAAGAAGACCUGACGGUACUUGAGGAAUAAGCCACGGCUAAUUCCGUGCCAGCAGCCGCGGUAAUACGGGAGUGGCAAGCGUUAUCCGGAAUUAUUGGGCGUAAAGCGUCCGCAGGCGGUUCUGUAAGUCUGUCGUUAAAGCGUGGAGCUUAACUCCAUUUCGGCGGUGGAAACUGCAGGACUUGAGUGUGGUAGGGGCAGAGGGAAUUCCCGGUGUAGCGGUGAAAUACGUAGAUAUCGGGAAGAACACCAGUGGCGAAAGCGCUCUGCUGGGCCAUAACUGACGCUCAUGGACGAAAGCCAGGGGAGCG
rnacentral:rRNA from 1 species